UGGGGAAUAUUGGACAAUGGGGGCAACCCUGAUCCAGCCAUGCCGCGUGAGUGAUGAAGGCCCUAGGGUUGUAAAGCUCUUUCGGCGGCGACGAUAAUGACGGUACCCGCAGAAGAAGCCCCGGCUAACUUCGUGC
rnacentral:rRNA from 1 species